UCCGCAUCCUACUUCCCCAAGUCACCUCCCGCCUCGGCCAGGCCGCCCACCUCCAGAGCCUCUCCAGCUAGGCCUCCCAGUCUCUGAACCCUUCUUGUCCCCAUGCCCUCACUGUAGACCCGCCGGCGACCUGGAGGGAUAGAUCGUAGUCGCAGUGGAGGGUGGGGUCUAAGAGGACCUUGUAGGCUUUGUGCGCCUGCAUGAACUGCUAAGUGAAGAAGGGCUUCUUGCUGGUGGAGCGGUAGGCGUUCUGGUGCCACUGCCGCACCUGCAGCCGAUACGCCGCCUUUAUCUCUGCUG
rnacentral:lncRNA from 1 species